UGGACUGUAUUUUAAAGGCUAUGGCCAAAUUUAGCUUAAAAAUAGAAUGAGGUGUAAAUUGAUAAAAAAUAUAAAUAUUGGGACUAAAUUUAACAUUACGCCAUAAAUAAAUAAAAAUAACUACCCGGUAGGAACCUAAAACCCUGGUAUUCCGCCGUCUUCCUUCGCUAUUUGUUCUCUGUUUGCAAAAACCCUAAUCUUGGACCCAAUAACACAAACAGAAAGAAUCCCAAAUCAGAAAAUGGUGAUGAAGGUGAGACAUCCAUGGAGAUUUCUUCUUUUCCGAAAUUACCCUCGUCGAUCUCCACUCCGUAUUUCCGCCAUAUCUCAGAUCCGUGCCAAGAUGAGCUUCGUUAACUCGUUAACUCGCCAUCCUCCGAUGUUUUACAUGACAUUGACAACCUCCUGAAUGAUAGUAUGCCACCAGCAAUCAAUCGCAUCUAUCAAGAGUAAGAGAUCCCAAGACUUCAACAAAGCAAGGAGCUUUGAAGCAAUCUUCACUGCUAAUAAUAUAUAUGUUUUCUCCAGAUCUUGGUAAUGGUCGUUCUGCAAGGUCCCCACCUCUAUCUCUGCUUUUAAUGAUUUGAAAAACCAAAUUUAUGUACAAGGCAACAAGCAAGUGGAGCCAGAAGAUUUCUAAGGUUUACCAGAAGAGUUGAAGAAACUUUGUUGGGGGGAAAUUCCAAGCUACUUUCAACCUAUUGCGAGCUGAAUCGUAAAAGAUUUUGCAAAAGUUGGGUUUCGCCAUAGUCUGGCUCUAGUUCUGUUUUGUGCUGCAGUAAAAGAGAUGGAAGAUUUUCUUCCUUAACAAAUCAUCCGCAAAUCCCACCUGAAAACCAACUUCCUUGGCCUUUUUAAGUGUUGCCCCCCACUUCUUCAACGUAUCCAAGUCUAAUUUCUUAGCUGGAAAAUCUUCCAUCUCUUUUACGAUUUGGACUUGGAUACGUUGAAGAAGUGGGGAGCAACACUUAAAAAGGCCAAGGAAGUUGGUUUUAAGGUGGGAUUUGCGGAUGAUUUGUUAAGGAAGAAAAUCUUCCAUCUCUUUUACUGCAGCAACUAUAUGAUUUUAUAUUUACUUUUCUCUUAGACUAUAUGGUUUUUUGGUAUGAAAUCGUGAGUUCGUAUUGUGUUUUGCAUCGUGUUAUAAUUGCAUUUAGAAUAUUUCAUAUUUUUAUAAUUUUAUUUAAGUCACUAAAUUGUUAAAA